UUCUUUGUAUCCUAUGUUGUUGCUAUAUCUAUGUAUCUAUGUAUAUUAUAGUUUCUAAUGCCUCUUCUGCAUAGUAUCUCAGGACAGCUUUGAAACCACCCUUCAGCAAGCUUAUAAUUAGGACUUCUGCCAUUGGCAAUUGCAGCCUCUGCUGCUGACACCUGGCGGAAUAUUGACACUCCCACAUGCAUGCUGCUUUCCACCUCAUGCAUGCUGCUUUUUCAGUUUAAUGCUGACUGCUGAGAUUGUUGAAAGUUGAAACCACGUGCACACUAAAUAAUAUAUUUAAUUAAGGGAUUUUCUAUGGUGUUCCCAAAGGCAUACAAUAGUCCCUAACUCUAAUAAAAAUAGCUUCUUUUGAUUGGUGGAUGAACAAUAAAUGAUGAUGACCCUCCUGCAUUCACAUCAACUCCACCAAUCAAAAUAAGUCAUUUUUAUAGAAUUUAGUGUUUAUUGUGUGCCCUUGAGCACACAUUAGAAUUAAUUCAUAGUAAAACUUAUGAAAACAGAAGUAAAGCUUCUUUUGUGCUGAGAUGCGAGGCUUUCCGAAGAAGCUACAAAUCAAACGCCAGGUUUUGAGCUUUUAUAGAACAAAAAUGGAUUGAGGGGCUCAUUACGAAAGAAGAAGCAGAAGCUUCACUCGAAGAUAAUGGAAAGUUUCAGGACACCGGGACAUUUGUACUGCGAUUUCCUACAUGAAGAAGCUGGCUCCAUCCAGAUGCCGGUAGUCUUAUAGUCACUUUUAACGGUUCUGAUUAUAGUAUUCACCACAAGCUUCUGUCUUGCGAUUUGAUCUAUAGAUUUGUUUCUCUUCUUUCUAAUAAAACAGGGCAUAUCUGAAACUGAUGCGAGAAUAUCCACUUUCUAAUCUUUAGUUGUCAUUUUCAGACUGUGGAUGUUCACACGGGUGUAGCAAUGUUGAUCUCGAUAAUUUUUACAAAUUCACAAUAAUUGAUAGGUUGCAAACAAGUCAAGUGUGUAUUCCUGGACUUCUCUUCUCAUCUCCAGAUUACAAAAGCCCAUUAACAAUAAAGCUAUACUCCAAUUUACUGGCCAAGAAAAAGGUGCAAAAUUUUUCCCGGAUAGAUAAUGCUUGCUGGUCACAAGCGCAUAUAUAGAACAGUUUUUGGUCACCCUCUUUCUCUCUCUGUCUUUGUGUCCCAGAAAUGAUCGCCACAAUUCCAAGAAGAGGGCUUUCCUUUCGACAAUUUCAUUACUCAAAGUGCCUGAAUUCCAUGGUGUGUUGGGAGAAAUUUGCAAGGUAAUUUGAAGUGGAGCUGAAAGAGGUCAAGUUGAGAGACGGCUACUAUGUGAUGGACCCUUAAAAGGCUGCAGAAAUGGUGGAUGAGAACACCAUUUGUGUUGCAGCUAUUCUAGGAUCCACUCUUAAUGGAGAAUUUGAAAAUGUAAGCUCUUAAAUGACCUCUUGGUUAAGAAAAACGCAGAAACGGGAUGGGAUACACCAAUUCAUGUGGACGCUGCUAGCGGUGGGUUCAUUGCCCCAUUUCUUUACCUGGAACUGGAAUGGGAUUCAGGUUUUCUUCACAACCUUGCUGUUCUCCACAUCUUCCUCAGUUGUCAACUUUUGUGUCACCUUGCUUGGGAGUGUGUCAAGCUCCUCGAGGACCUGCUCGAUAUUUGUAACCAGGCUUUCAGCCGGAUUCCGUGAAAAGUCCUCGCGGAUAACUCCACGAAGCACUGUAAAAUGUUGGGCAUCAGUAGGCAUGGUGUAAGCUAUGAUCCAACCAUAAUGCCUUAACCUGUCUGAGACUACGAAUAGGCUAUGAUUUUUCAGAGAGAAUUCAUUGUAAUUUAUUUUAUUCAUCGUAUGUACCAAGGUCAAAAAUAGUUCAUGCUUUCAAGAAAUUUUUCAAAACAAUAUUUGUUUUAAUGAAGUAAUAUAAUUCUUCU